rnacentral:rRNA from 1 species
ACGAUUCCUACGGGAGGCAGCAGUGGGGAAUAUUGCACAAUGGGCGCAAGCCUGAUGCAGCCAUGCCGCGUGUGUGAAGAAGGCCUUCGGGUUGUAAAGCACUUUCAGCGAGGAGGAAGGUGGUGAGCUUAAUACGCUCAUCAAUUGACGUUACUCGCAGAAGAAGCACCGGCUAACUCCGUGCCAGCAGCCGCGGUAAU